UUUUAGGCAAUAUAGAAAUCCUGGCCAGGACGCGUCCUGGGAAAAUGGCACGUAUGGUCACCCUAUAAUAUGUUGACUAUGCUGAAUUAACACUGUAUGGUAAAAACCCAUAACACAUCCCAUGUUUUGAAAGCUAUUUUAUGUACCAAACACUUUUAUUUGUAAUGCGUAUUUUAUAAAACAAAAAGACUUCCUUGAAGAUUGUAUGAAGUUUUCCCUGGUUUAUGUGACUAUUAGAGUAUUUUUCCUAUCAGAAAUUACAUGACAUUUUUCUACUAUAGUCUUUUACUAAUUUAUGGCCAGCAGGAUUUGGUUAGACAGAUUAGGUCGUUUGUAAGCAUGCUUUGUGUCCUCAACAGAGCACAUGUUGGACGUCUUCCUUUAUCUGACGCUUAUUUGAGGUCUUGGAGUCUCGAUUAAUGAUCUUUGAGUUGAAUCAGGUGUGUCUGAUGAGUUAGACAUACAAUAUGUGCAGUGUUGAGGAAACCCUGAUCACCUACUGAAUGAACAGUAUCUGCAGGGUCUGGGCUUAUGGCGCACAAACAGGUUGCAAGAUCCCCAACAUCUCAUAAGAGCUCAGGACUGCUCAGAGAUGCUGAACUCUGUGAUUCUGCCUCUGUGUCCUGAUGAAAGCACUCCGCUUCUCUCAGGAUCUUCAGAGAGGA